rnacentral:rRNA from 1 species
AGUCACUGACAUUAGAUACCCGUGUAGUCCCAGCCGUAAACUAUGCGCGUUAGGUGUAUCGGUGACCACGAGUCACCGAGGUGCCGAAGGGAAACCGUGAAACGUGCCGCCUGGGAAGUACGGUCGCAAGGCUGAAACUUAAAGGAAUUGGCGGGGGAGCACAACAACGGGUGGAGCCUGCGGUUUAAUUGGACUCAACGCCGGACAACUCACCGGGGACGACAGCAAUAUGUAGGCCAGGCUGAAGACCUUGCCUGAAUCGCUG